AAUAAAAUUAAUUAAACUUAAUUAAAUAAAAAAACAUAAUAAGGAUAGAAAUAAAAAGAGUCGUGUUAAUCGCAUUUAAACGAGCACCAUUGUUCGCGCACUUUGCGAACAUUCUUAAUAGCGGAAAAAUUCGAAUGGUGCAUCUCUGUCGAUUUAGAAAAUCGAGUAUUAUUAAAUAAAUUUUCGUUUUAAAAGUUGAUAGAUCGUAAGAAAAAAGGAUUGAGAGUAAAGAGAAGAAAGAUAACAGACCGUUAUUCGUUUGCGAUGAAAAUUUAGGUAAAAUGGAAGGAGAUUGGACGUUCGCACGCGCGCGCGCGCGCGCGCGCGCAUCGAUGUGAACAUUUUAAAGGGGUGGGAGUAGUGACGCAGACGGUGGCAGCACUGACGCUUCUGGAAACGGUAUCCCCGCGCCGCUAAGUAACACACACGCGCGCGCGCGCGUAUAUAUAUUAUACACGUAUUAAAUACUAACACAGAGAUUGGAUUCGCUCAUGCCAACAGCCAGUUUUCUUUCGGUAGAGCUAAGGAUAGGAAGAUUUAUUCGAUAGACUUUUAAGAGAGAGUAUAAUAGAAGACAUUUUCGAUAUUGUAAAGUUGUAUUCUGAAAAGAGACGACAACGACGAGGAAGGUGUUGAACAUUUAGACGUCGCGUUAUGCCGCAGGCUCGACGCGUAUCGCGUUGUUACGAUUGGCCGUUCGUAAGGCCAAGCGAGGAAGAUAGUAAUAGUGAUAGUAGUAGUAG
rnacentral:lncRNA from 1 species